UGUGUACUCCCUCCGUCCGGAAAUACUUGUCGGAGAAAUGCAUAAAAAUAAAUGUAUCUAGAACUAAAAUACAUCUAGAUACAUCCAUUCCUUCGACGAGUAUUUCCGGACGGAGGGAGUAGUAC
rnacentral:pre_miRNA from 1 species